UUUUGUAUAAUGGGUCAGCGACUUAUAUUCUGUAGCAAGGUUAACCGAAUAGGGGAGCCGAAGGGAAACCGAGUCUUAACUGGGCGUUAAGUUGCAGGGUAUAGACCCGAAACCCGGUGAUCUAGCCAUGGGCAGGUUGAAGGUUGGGUAACACUAACUGGAGGACCGAACCGACUAAUGUUGAAAAAUUAGCGGAUGACUUGUGGCUGGGGGUGAAAGGCCAAUCAAACCGGGAGAUAGCUGGUUCUCCCCGAAAGCUAUUUAGGUAGCGCCUCGUGAAUUCAUCUCCGGGGGUAGAGCACUGUUUCGGCAAGGGGGUCAUCCCGACUUACCAACCCGAUGCAAACUGCGAAUACCGGAGAAUGUUAUCACGGGAGACACACGGCGGGUGCUAACGUCCGUCGUGAAGAGGGAAACAACCCAGACCGCCAGCUAAGGUCCCAAAGUCAUGGUUAAGUGGGAAACGAUGUGGGAAGGCCCAGACAGCCAGGAUGUUGGCUUAGAAGCAGCCAUCAUUUAAAGAAAGCG
rnacentral:rRNA from 1 species